rfam:Triticum aestivum genome assembly, contig: Triticum_aestivum_CS42_TGACv1_scaffold_049469_1BS
AUAAUACUUCCCCCGUUCGGAAUUACUUGUCUUGGAAAUGGAUGUAUCUAGAAAUAGUUCUAGAUACAUCCAUUUCCGCGACAAGUAAUUCCGAACGGAGGGAGUAGUAC